rnacentral:rRNA from 1 species
UACGGAGGGUGCGAGCGUUGUCCGGAAUCGCUGGGCGUAAAGGGCGCGUAGGUGGCGUCGCAAGUCAACGGUGAAAGCUCGGCGCUCAACGCCGAGUCGGCCGUCGAUACUGCGAGGCUGGAGCACUGUAGAGGCAGAUGGAAUUCCGGGUGUAGCGGUGGAAUGCGUAGAGAUCCGGAGGAACACCGGUGGCGAAGGCGGGUCUCUGGGCCGAAAUUGACGCUGAGGAGCGAAAGCGUGGGGAGCAAACAGG